CCCAGCUUGCUGGGUGGAUUAGUGGCGAACGGGUGAGUAACACGUGAGUAACCUGCCCCCGACUCUGGGAUAAGCCCGGGAAACUGGGUCUAAUACCGGAUAUUACCUCUUGCCGCAUGGCAGGUGGUGGAAAGAUUUAUCGGUGGGGGAUGGACUCGCGGCCUAUCAGCUUGUUGGUGAGGUAAUGGCUCACCAAGGCGACGACGGGUAGCCGGCCUGAGAGGGUGACCGGCCACACUGGGACUGAGACACGGCCCAGACUCCUACGGGAGGCAGCAGUGGGGAAUAUUGCACAAUGGGCGAAAGCCUGAUGCAGCGACGCCGCGUGAGGGAUGACGGCCUUCGGGUUGUAAACCUCUUUCAGUAGGGAAGAAGCGAAAGUGACGGUACCUGCAGAAGAAGCGCCGGCUAACUACGUGCCAGCAGCCGCGGUAAUACGUAGGGCGCAAGCGUUAUCCGGAUUUAUUGGGCGUAAAGAGCUCGUAGGCGGUUUGUCGCGUCUGCCGUGAAAGUCCGAGGCUCAACCUCGGAUCUGCGGUGGGUACGGGCAGACUAGAGUGAUGUAGGGGAGACUGGAAUUCCUGGUGUAGCGGUGAAAUGCGCAGAUAUCAGGAGGAACACCGAUGGCGAAGGCAGGUCUCUGGGCAUUUACUGACGCUGAGGAGCGAAAGCAUGGGGAGCGAACAGGAUUAGAUACCCUGGUAGUCCAUGCCGUAAACGUUGGGCACUAGGUGUGGGGG
rnacentral:rRNA from 1 species